GCAGUUAACGCAAUAAGUUCUCCGCCUGGGGAGUAUGCACGCAAGUGUGAAACUCAAAGGAAUUGACGGGGGCCCGCACAAGCGGUGGAGUAUGUGGUUUAAUUCGAAGCAACGCGAAGAACCUUACCAGGCCUUGACAUGGAUAUAAAUGUUCUAGAGAUAGAAAGAUAGCUAUAUAUCACACAGGUGGUGCAUGGUUGUCGUCAGCUCGUGUCGUGAGAUGUUGGGUUAAGUCCCGCAACGAGCGCAACCCUUGUCUUCUGUUACCAGCAUUAGGUUGGGGACUCAGGAGAGACUGCCGGUGACAAACCGGAGGAAGGUGGGGAUGACGUCAAAUCAUCAUGCCCCUUAUGGCCUGGGCUACACACGUACUACAAUGGCGCCUACAAAGAGCAGCGACACCGCGAGGUGGAGCGAAUCUCAUAAAGGGCGUCUCAGUUCGGAUUGAAGUCUGCAACUCGACUUCAUGAAGUCGGAAUCGCUAGCAAUCGCAGAUCAGCAUGCUGCGGUGAAUACGUUCUCGGGCCUUGUACUCACCGCCCGUC
rnacentral:rRNA from 1 species